GGCUGUUUAGUUUAUGAAAAACUGGUGUUUUGAAAGCACUAAAAAGAGAAUAAUCUCUAAUGGUCG
rnacentral:tRNA from 1 species